GUGACUCGGCAACCAAGAGCACUUCUGUGUUCUCCAAGAGGAUCUGAGUUCUGUUCCCAGCACUCACUCACAUGGUGCCUAACAACGGCCCAAAUCCAGUUCCGGGGCAUCUGACACUCUGGAGACACCUGCAUACACAAGCGGCCAUCAACUGCCUCACUCUCAAGAGAUCUGGCCUAUUUACAGUCCUUGUGGAGGAAGAAAGAACCUCACAAGAUCCUCAUGUGGUCCAGCAACUCCCAAGGUUAUAGAAGCAGAAAACAAUUGCUUGGGAAAGCUGCCGCGAGUCUAUCUGGUGAGAACCGUUCGUACCCUGCUCUCAGGGCCAGAAGCAAGGCUGUUGGAAGUCGGAGAAUACUUGCUGUUGCUUUCCAAGACUGGCGGUGGAGGGGAGCUGACUGGCGGUGAAGGGGCCACACACUAAGGGCCUUGUCAACCUCUCAGUGAAUUAUGGGCUGCUCUUGAUUAGCCAAAGCAAUGUUUCUGGGUUGCCAAAACAGAAUUUGCUGACCCAGGUUAUUAAAAUGCAAAUGUCCGACAAAGUGCCUGGAGGCAGGAACGCACACACACAGAGUAUCUACAUUGUGUACAUGUGGGCUGUGGAAGGCUGCAGAAGCCUCAACAGUGAAGACCACCUACCUGGUGACCAGGAGACCCGAGGUUGGGAACACUGUGGCACAGGUCGGGGAGGCAUGGAGACAACUGCCACAAUCCGGAAAGACCUGGGCCACUGUUCUCAGGAAUGCCUCCAGACUCACCUGCCUCACUCUCCUCAUCUGUUCAUUUGCUUGUUGGUUUUGAGACAGGGCUUCACUAGGUAGUCCCGGCUGUUCUGGAACUCAUUCUGUAGACCAGGUUGGCCUCUGUAGAAACAGAGAUCUGCCUGCCUCUGCCUCCUGAGUUCUGGGAUUAAAGGCGAGCGCCGCCGCCGCCACCACCACCACCACCAGCUCACAGCCAAAUCUUAAAAGAUUUGUCCAAACGACCUUUUCAUAAGGGCCAUUUGGGGCAAGGUACCGUUGGGUGUUUAAGAGGGGCAGUUUGCAGAAUGAACACGUGCACCCCGCUAUGGUGACAUACAGGAAAGAAAGUCCAUCCAGGAUAUCCACUCCCCAAGCUAUGCACCCAGAAACUGUGUCCAUCCAAAGGGGCAUAUUCCCCCUGAUCCGCACAAGGCUCCCUCUAGCCCAGAGGAAGUACUGUUUGCACAGUGCUCCUGACUCUCCAUUUGAAACAAGCCAGGCAAUCAUCCAAUUACUUACAUGCUUCUUAUUGCCAAACCCCGCAGAAAUGACUCAAUUCUCACUGCUCCUCAGAAUCUGACACUAGCUACUCCUCCCUCUUGAAAAUGCACCCACUAAGCUUGCUCUGCCCUCCUGGCCAUCAGCUGCUGCCU